UGUCAGUGUAGGGUGUCAGUGUAGGGUGUCAGUGUAGGCUGUCAGUGUAGGGUGUCAGUGUAGGGUGUCAGUGUAGGCUGUCAGUGUAGGCUGUCAGUGUAGGGUGUCAGUGUAGGGUGUCAGUGUAGGCUGUCAGUGUAGGGUGUCAGUGUAGGCUGUCAGUGUAGGGUGUCAGUGUAGGGUGUCAUUGUAGGCUGUCAGUGUAGGCUGUCAGUGUAGGGUGUCAGUGUAGGCUGUCAGUGUAG